CUCUCUACCAAAGGAUAAAGUUAUUCC
rnacentral:tRNA from 1 species